rnacentral:siRNA from 1 species
CUAAAUGAAAGGUGGUCAACAU